rnacentral:SRP_RNA from 1 species
CCAGCCCCUCGCGUGGCGCUAUCCCGCUGAACCCCCCCAGGGCCGGAAGGCAGCAAGGGUAGGCAGGCUCUGGCGGGUACGCGGGGGGCCCUGUG